AGACCAUGAUGAGGACAUCUUCGUUGUAACUCCCGAUAGCGCUCCAAAAUUUUGUACAAUAUCUCUCUUUCCUGUUGAGAGAAACUAGUUAUAUCCAUUCUAAGUUU